rnacentral:rRNA from 1 species
AAACAUAGCCGGCAGUCAUUAAAUUACCGGUAAUACCUGCCCAGUGAUAAUUUAACGGCCGCAGUACUAUGACUGUGCAAAGGUAGCAUAAUCAUUUGGCUUUUAAUUGAAGUCUGGUAUGAAUGGAUGAACGUAUAUAAGCUGUCUCAAUAAUAAAUUUAUUAAAAUUAUUUAUAAGGUGAAAAUACCUUACAUAGGAAAAAAAGACGAGAAGACCCUUAGAAUUUUAAGAAAAGCCGCAAACUUAUGUGGUGUGAUUUUUGUUGGGGCAACAUUUUUUCAUAUAAACAAAAACUUAAAAGUAGAUAUAACGAAUAAGCUUAAUAAAAUAAAAAUUACCUAAGGGAUAACAGCAUAAUUUUAAGUAAAGAUUGUGACCUCGAUGUUGGACUAGGAAUUAUUAAAGCUAGUCGUUUUAAUAUAAUAGGUUCUGUUCGAACUUUAUUUCCUA